CGCACAUGGCGCCUUCCAGUAUCCUGGGAGGCAUGCCUGUCCGAGCGUCGUUUCAACCCUCGAGCCCCCGUGGCCCGGUGUUGGGGAUCUGCCACGGCAGGCCCCUAAAUCCAGUGGCGGACCCGACGGGCCCUCUCCUUUGCGUAGUAGCAUUCGCCUCGCAUUGGGAGCCCCCGGCGUCCACGCCUCUAAACCCCCCUCAAGCCCGCCCCGGCGGCACCAAGGUUGACCUCGGAUCAGGUAGGAAUACCCGCUGAACUUAA
rnacentral:misc_RNA from 1 species